rnacentral:rRNA from 1 species
CACGUAGGGCGCAAGCGUUGUCCGGAAUUAUUGGGCGUAAAGAGCUCGUAGGCGGUCUGUUGCGUCCGCUGUGAAAACUCGGGGCUUAACCCCGAGCCUGCAGUGGAUACGGGCAGACUAGAGGUAGGUAGGGGAGAAUGGAAUUCCCGGUGUAGCGGUGGAAUGCGUAGAGAUCGGGAAGAACAUCAGUGGCGAAGGCGGCCUGCUGGGCUGUUGCUGACGCUGAGGCGCGACAGCGUGGGGAGCAAACAGG